GGCCCAAUGGUCUAGUAGUAUGAUUCGCGCUUCGGGAGUUUCCCGGUCUUUGGACCUUCAAAUGCGCGAGGUCCCGGGUUCAAUUCCCGGUUGGGCCC